CCGGCCCAGCGCAGCCCAUUUCUGCUCAUCGUCCCCUUCCUUGAGCCAGCCAGUGCAUGCACACAAGGUGUUCGACGAAAUACCGACCCGAGUCGCUGCACCGUUCCGCCCUCGUUCCCGUACCGCGUUGCACCAUACCACCCUCCCGUGCGCCCCACAACGUGCCAGGGCCACGUAGCGCCGCCCCGCACGCCGCGCCAAAGCCGCAUCGCGCCAAACUCCACGAAAACCGCCGCGCCCUCUCCGGGAGACACGGAGCCACGUCGCCCCGCGUCACCCCCGUCUCGUCGCCGUUCCAUCCCGAGCUCUCGCGGACGCGCGUCCCUUCGCUGUCGCCCGUCGUCUUGUCGUCUGUCUCCUCCCGGGAAGCCGCCGAGCUCGCGCCUCCCUCUCACUCGCGUUCCAUCGCCACCACCGUGUGACGUCGCUCGCGUCGCAUCAAUCUGAGAACCCUACCACCCAAAUCCCGGCCGUAGCCGCCGUCGGCCGCGCGUCAUCGAUGUCCCGUCGCCUUUCCCACUCUCCGCGCGUCACUUCGUGUCGCGUCGCCGUCGUUUUCACCGUCGAGUCACCACCGGUGCAUGACGCCAAGCCAUCGCGUCGCCAUCUCGUCCACCCCGGAAUCCCGCCCUAGCCGCUAGCCAGCUACCCCCGGAGCUCCGCGUCUAGACCGCCAGCUCGCCACCGCGCCGCUUGCCUAUAAAAGGGGAAGCAGCCCGAGCUCCUUCUCCCCACACCAUCACCAUCUCUCCCCAUCUCUCUCUCCUCUCUCUUUCUCUCGUUUUGCUCUCUGUUGCUGCCAGCCAGAGCCGCCGCGCUAUUCUCCCGGCGCCGCCGUCGCCGGUGGAGCCUCGCCGGAGUUCUCCGCCGCCCUCCCUCAGCCGCCGGUCGCCUCGCCGCACCCCAUCGCCGAAACGCAUCGCUAUCCCAGACCGAGCCGAGCAAAAGAGCGAGAGGAGGAAGAAGCAGGCCUCCUCAAGCCUCUGCCAAGCCGGCCCCACCUUCCUUUAUUCCUUCCUGCCACUAACGAGCAGGGCCCGUGUGCCUUUUCCUCUCUAGCAGCCACCGACAGAGCCCGAGUUCGAGGAAGCUCCGGACGCCGCUUUCGAAGGAGAAGACCCCAACGCUGUGCAAGGCAAGCCCCUUUGAUCACAUUGCCCCUAUAUUUUCAAUGAUAUGUUGUUUGCAAAGAUGCAUUGUUAGUUCACACGAUUAACAUGUUUAGGCCUCGGAUUGUUUAUACAACCGACGGACCAACCCAGUAGUCGCACUUAUAUUACAUAGGUUGAUGUUUCCAUACCAUUGAUAGCUCCACAAAUAUUUGCGCCGGUAUCAUUAUUCGUUUACCGAGGUAGUUUCGCUUAGCCAUGCUUACGUUGUUGCCGUGUGGGAAACUUGGGUUAUUCCAAAUCCAUGUUU